CAAAAACCCAACAUAUCUCUCUCGCGCCACAUAAAAAAUUUUGCCAGGUUGUGGUGAUCGUCUCCAUCGAAUUAUCUCUCUCGUUGAAGCCUGGUCUCACGAAUUUACCAGCUACACACAACGCCAUGUCUCAUUUUCGUCGAACAAUGCUAAAUGGAAGUUUGAGCCAGGGCAAUCCGAGUGCAUUCCAGUAUGGAGGCCUGGCAUACGGAGGUAGACAGAUCACACCAGAGCUGGUCGAAUGAGGAAGAGCUUGAGCUUAUAGCAGCCAUGAAGGAAUAAGUUGCGAAUGGUUGGAAAUCUGACAAUGGCUUUAGAGGGCUAUCUGAACAAAGUGGAGGAAUCACUAUACAUAAUUUUCCUACCACGGAUUUGUGGGCCAACCCUCAUAUUUAGUCUAAGAUAACAACUUGGAAGAAGAACUACAAUGGCCUCUGUAUUAUUCUAGAACAUAGUGGGGUCGGGUUUAAUGUCCACAAUGACUACAAAAUUGACUGCAAUAAUGAACAAUGGGAUCAUAUUAUUAAGGUUAGUUUGAAAUUCAUCUUAAUUUUUUUGUAAUUACAUAAUGUAGUUCAUAGUGAUGCUUCAACUCUUGUUCACCGUGGAGAAAGUAGUCUCAAUGGUAUGACGACUAAAGCAUGGCACUAUUGGGAGGAUUGGAAGGUGAUCUUUGGAAAGGAUAGGGCUAGUGUGAAACUGUCGAGGAUAUGAUGGAUGCUAGGAGAUCGAAUGGAGUAUAAAUACUGAUGAAGUAUCACAUUUUACGAGAAUGUUAGGGAUUGUAUACUAGAAAUCACCUUUCGAGUGAUUGAAUACUGUAAAACUCUAAUAAUUAUUUUUCAA